UGGGGAAUAUUGCACAAUGGGCGCAAGCCUGAUGCAGCCAUGCCGCGUGUGUGAAGAAGGCCUUCGGGUUGUAAAGCACUUUCAGCGGGGAGGAAGGCGAUAAGGUUAAUAACCUUGUCGAUUGACGUUACCCGCAGAAGAAGCACCGGCUAACUCCGUGCCAGCAGCCGCGGUAAUACGGAGGGUGCAAGCGUUAAUCGGAAUUACUGGGCGUAAAGCGCACGCAGGCGGUCUGUCAAGUCGGAUGUGAAAUCCCCGGGCUUAACCUGGGAACUGCAAUCGAAACUGGCAGGCUAGAGUAUUGUAGAGGGGGGUAGAAUUCCAGGUGUAGCGGUGAAAUGCGUAGAGAUCUGGAGGAAUACCGGUGGCGAAGGCGGCCCCCUGGACAAAGACUGACGCUCAGGUGCGAAAGCGUGGGGAGCAAACAGG
rnacentral:rRNA from 1 species